CUGUGAUUCCUGUACGUCAGGCUUUGUAUGCGACAUGGUCUAAAGAAUGGAAGUCAUAAUUCUUGCUAUAAUUUUGCUGGUGACUUCACUACACGUAAGGAUUCCACAAUGUGUCCAACAGCAUGUAAUUCUGUAAGUAUAAAAAUAAAAUCAUAUUCCUAUGUCUUUAAGCUUCUCUUCAGAGAAACAAUUAUUGACAUCAUACUCUUUAAAUGAAAUUCUGAAGAGUUCAAAAGAACAUCCAUUAUGUCUUUAUUAAUGUGGAGAUGAGAUGGUUGCAUGUGAUCGUACCAGAUGUGACAAUCUUUAUCACUAAACCUAAAUAAAAAACUACUCUAUCUUCAUAAUGAAACAAAUAGCUCAAACAUAUUGUCAAUAACAUAAUAUUACCUCUUAAGAAUCACUUGUGAAAUUUCAUCAAUUGGAUAAGCCUUUAAUAUAAAGAUGUUUGGUCAAUGCCAAGAUGUUGAAUAUUUAAGUUAUCAAAACGUUCAAAUACUUCUUGAAAUCCAAAAUGCUCUGUUGCUCCUUCCAAUCCAUUACGUGGUCCAUCCCAUAUUUCUCUUAAAGAUAUAUCGAUGAGGUCCUUUUGUUUACUGACCCAUGACACACAACAAAUUUUGCACAAUAUGGAUAUGUGUCUACAAGAAAUUUACCUGGUUUUAUCUCUUGGUCUUGUAAAAAAUAUUGUCCUGUAAUCGUCACCAGAAACAUUAUUCAUUCCUAUUUCUGUUAAAAAGUUCACCAGUAUGAUUACAUUAUAUUAUUAAAGAAACAAA